rnacentral:rRNA from 1 species
CAGCAGCAGCCGCGGUAAUACGAAGGGUGCAAGCGUUACUCGGAAUUACUGGGCGUAAAGCGUGCGUAGGUGGUGGUUUAAGUCCGUUGUGAAAGCCCUAGGCUCAACCUGGGAAUGGCAAUGGAUACUGGCAAGCUAGAGUGUGUCAGAGGAUGGUGGAAUUCCCGGUGUAGCGGUGAAAUGCGUAGAGAUCGGGAGGAACAUCAGUGGCGAAGGCGGCCAUCUGGGACAACACUGACGCUGAGGCACGAAAGCGUGGGGAGCAAACAGGAUUAGAGACCCCCGUAGUCCCUGUCUCUUAUAU